AUCCUUCUGUAGUUGAUCAGCGUGAUGACUAGGUGUUCACGCGCAUGCGUGAGAUGUGCGGCUCGCAAAUCUUGUCAUGACAUCCACACAGUACUUAUCUGACA